rnacentral:lncRNA from 1 species
UAUAUUUCUAUUUUUGCACUUAAUAUACAAAACAAAGAACUCUUUUUAUUAAAUUCCAAUCAGUUUCUGCAUAUUUACAUCACCACUAAAAGUAGGAUCCAACCUUAACGAGAUGUUCACAUAUGAAACCUACUUAAAAGAUGUUGACACCAAUCUCAUAGCCAAAGCCCACGUCCUAAAAGCAUCAAUUUUUACAUGUUGCUCACUUGAAACACCUCAAUGUAUACAAGCCAAUCAAACUAGAUAUGCAACUGAAGACUCGUAUGCUUCUUGUUGAUAAAUUCCCAUCAUGCUUAUCAACACCUACCAGGAAAUAAAACAGAACACAUUUAAGCAAAAUCUGAAUGCAAAUGGGCUUUUACACAGAAACAAAAUAUCAAAAAUACAUACACUGCAACAGUAGGAUGUUACACUAGACACGACUAAAAAUGGAAGACUGAUAAAAACAUACAAAAUAUGUUGGUAAGAAACAACGUACAAAACCUGUUUAUUAAGAGCAUUGUCCAAAAUAUCCACUAAUAAAUGUAGAGCAUAAUAGAAAACACACCACAGAAACUGGAAGUUGGAUGCUACACUGGUCCGGGUUCUUUCACCAUAUGCUGCAGAAAAUACUUUCAUGAGCUUGUUAACAUUUAAUAUAAAAUUAAGUAUGCAAUCAUAAAAAAAAUAUUCAACCAUGAGUAAAAACAAAAGGGGUAAUCAAUCACCUUACAAUGUUAAUAAUUUUUUCCUCCAGCAGGAACAUAAAUAAUGUUUCUCACAAUAUUAUUUCUAUCAACUUGGUAAUCCAGUUCAUUUAGAAAAUAAAUUGGAAAUCAGAAAUUACAUAAAAAUGUUAAGAAACCAGCCACUUAUUGUUGCAUGUUGUAUCUUUAGACACAUUUUAAGCAUUUAUAAUCCUGUUAUAUUUUCCAACUCUAAUGUGAUUUAGGGUUUUGACCCAAACAUUAUAUAUUUUGAACUCGUUUAUUGAUGACUGGAUAGAAAAAUACCAACAAUGCAACAAUAACCUCUAAUCAGAACAUGCGUAUAUUAAACCAAAAUAGAGGAUCCAUUACUCAAUUCAUGUAUCUGGAUUCCAAAACUUGAUAUGCAUAAUUAAAAUAAAAUAAAAUAAAAAAAAAGUAUCAGUCGAAAUGGUACCUCAAGAGCAUCGAUUGUUGUGGCACUAGUGAAAAUAGCGGCGAUAAAGCGUCGAAUUCUCGUCGUUUUAGGGUAUUAGGGUUUUCGAUCAAUGGUUUUAACUCUCUAGAGUGCUCGCAUUCACAGAGUAGCUUCGAAUUGAAAUCAUAUACCUGGUCAAAUGGCGGGAUAAUAAAAAUUUGUAGCGGGAUAACGGAAAUUGGUGGCUGGAUAUGAAAAUUUGAUAGGCAAUGUUUUUUUAAUUGCAUCGGCG